GCACUCACAAUGUCGGCGUGUGGCACCAGUGAGCCUGUACAUGCAGUAGCUGAUUCCACAAACACAGCGCAGCCCCAAGACACUGUAGAUUGUGCAGAUGAAGGACUACUCACAAUGCCUGCAGCAAGUGAGACUGCUGCUCCCUCUGAAGAGAAAAAUGCUGCUCAAUCCCACAAUUCCCGAAGAGCUCCCAAAAACAUGUGGUCCAAGGCUGAGGUUGCUGCAGUGAUGAGGCAUUUGAAAGACCACAUAAACGAAGGGAAACUAGCCACCAAAAAUGAAUGCAGUCAUUGCAAAUUGGUAGAAGAUCCGGUGUUGGCAGGAAGAACAGUUCAAAACAUAAGAGAUUUUGUAAGAAACAGAGGAUUAACUGCAAAAAGGCAGAAAAAAAUGAACUAAAAUAACUGUUUAGAGAGCUGUGGUUUUACAUCUUGGUCAGAUUGCCAAUUGUUGUUAACACUGAUGUUCUGUUUAAAGAAAAAAAAGUUCUUGUUAAAUACAGAAGUAGUUUGUAUUUCAUAAUUUUUACAUUUAAUUUAUUUAGGGUUUUUUUUGACGGGUUAUAUUUAAAAUAAAAAAUUAUAAAUGCAUAUUUUCUCCCCUUAAUAUUUACCUUUAAACUAUUAAAAUUCAUUUUAAAUGUUUUUAAUUUUUCUGUUUUCUAUAUUUUUAUAUUUCUGUGGGAAGCGUGGGCAUUUUUGUCCAUAGAUUUCUUUUUUUAUUUAUGGUUAAAAUUAAUGUUCAGAUCCAAGAACACUAAUAAAAUGAUGUUCCAGUAA